CAAUAGCGUAUAUUUAAGUUGUUGCAGUUAAAAAGCUCGUAGUCGGAUUUUGGCUGAGAACGAACGGUCCGCCGUUAGGUUUGCACUGUUUGGUCUCAGCUUCCUGGUGAGGAGGUGUGCUUCACGGCCACUUAGUCACCGUGGUUACUUUGAAAAAAUUAGAGUGUUCAAAGCGGGCUUACGCUUGAAUAUAUUAGCAUGGAAUAACACCAUAGGACUCCUGUCCUAUUUCGUUGGUCUCGGGACGGGAGUAAUGAUUAAGAGGAACAGUUGGGGGCAUUCGUAUUUCAUUGUCAGAGGUGAAAUUCUUGGAUUUAUGAAAGACGAACUUCUGCGAAAGCAUUUGCCAAGGAUGUUUUCAUUGA
rnacentral:rRNA from 1 species